CCAUAAGUCACAUAAAGGUUUGAGUGUUGGACUGUGACUCCAGAGUCCAGGGUUCGAUUCCCAGCUUGGCCA